UACGAAGGGUGCAAGCGUUACUCGGAAUUACUGGGCGUAAAGCGUGCGUAGGUGGUUCGUUAAGUCUGAUGUGAAAGCCCUGGGCUCAACCUGGGAAUGGCAUUGGAAACUGGCGACCUAGAGUGCGGUAGAGGGUAGUGGAAUUCCCGGUGUAGCAGUGAAAUGCGUAGAGAUGCGGAGGAACACCGAUGGCGAAGGCAGCCCCCUGGGCUAGCACUGACGCUCAGGCACGAAAGCGUGGGGAGCAAACAGG
rnacentral:rRNA from 1 species